CUUGCUCCUAAAUUUCUUUGAUUAUGCCAUGGUCCCAAUCGUUAAGUUCCCUAAUUGCUUCCAAUUCGCUUUAAUGAUGACACACCUGGUUUCCAUCAGAGACUCAGUAUAAGAACUCUGACAUCACAACCACUAGUUGCCAGUUUGUUGGUCUUUUUCCUGUGAGAUAACUAUGUUCCUUGACUGCUUUGAACUGUUUGUUCUAAGUUUAGCUCCUGUUUCAAGAUUUACCUAUGAGACUCCGUUUCUCUGAGCCAAGGCUCUGCGUCAAGGUUCCGUAUCAGGGCUCCGAGUCAAGAUUCCUCCUGUUUACUGUUCGGCGUUUACGUCCAUGUCAGCAUCCAAACUCAAUCUCCGUGCCUGUGUCCUGCACUUGGGUUCGCUUCCUACACUCUUGUAACAAUCUAUCCCCCUCAUAAUUUUGCAGAACUCUAUCAAAUCCCUCUUGAAUCUCAUAUGCUCCAGAAAACAAGGCCUCACCUAUUCAAGCUUAUUGAUGUAGGAAAAGAAAACAAAAUGCCGAAUCGCUAGUCCUGAUGAAGGAUCUCAGGCCAAGACACCAACUGUUUAUUCCCCUCCAUAGACACUGCCUGGCCUGCUGAGCGCCUCCAAUAUUUUGUGUGUGUUGCUCUGGAUUUCCAGCAUCUGCGGAAUCUCCUGUGUUACAGAAGGCAAAGUCUAGCGGCAAAUGCAGAUAAUAAAAUGCAUUUAAAGAAAUAUAUUGGAGUUUCUGACAAGCAACCAAUGUGCAGAAGAAGACAAGCUGCGGAGAAACAAAAUAUCGAGAAUGAGUUGUUGAGUUCCUGAAAGUGAGUCUGGAGUUGGUGGAGUCGGUUCGGGGUUGAGGUCAGAAUGCUGAUGCAUGACCGUAUUUUCUGGCUGCGAAAGAUCUCCGACUACACCCUGCCCCUUCAGUGUCAUCAAGAGGAUGUGAGGGGGUGGGUUGGGCAUGUGAUGAGGAGAGGCCAACUCCAUCAUCAAGACAGCACUUCACAGGAAGACGAAGAGGAAACACAGGAAGACCAAAGACAACUUGACGCCAUACCGUAGGGGCAGGAAUGAGGACCCUGACCCACGCCUGGGACACAAUGGAGAAGAUGACCAAGGACAGACGGUGUUGGAGGACCUUCAUUGCUGCCCUAAAUGCCAGCGGCGUAAUGGGCAGUGAGUAACUUAUUCAUGAAGGGUCUCGCAACAAGCCAUCAACCGUUUAUUUGCCUCCAAAGAUGCUGCCUGAACUGUUGAGUUCCUCCAGCAUUUUGUGUGUAUGAUUCAAGACCCAACUGCUUCCCUGAACACAGGGAAGACCAGGGAUGUUCUUGCAGAACUCUGGUCAAUAUAGAUCCCUCAACUUGGAGUACUGAAAUUGAUAUGCCAGACUUCUGAGAUUAGCAGCUGGAGUAUUACACCAGGUGUUGCCUGACUGGCUGAGUUCCUCCAGCAUUUUGUGUGUGUUGCUCAAGAUUUCCAGCAUCUGCAGAAUCUCAGUGCAAGUAUUGCCGCUCACUGGAUGUCCUUACGUUUCUCGCACCGUUCUCUGUAAACUCUACAGACACCAACAAUCAUUCCAAGGUCAAAGUCACCUAGAUCGCAUUUCUUCCCAUUCUGACAUUUGGUCUGAACAACAAAUGAACCUCUUGACCACGUCUGCGCACUUUUAUGCAAUGAGUUACUGCACGAUAAUUG